ACAGGCAAGAGGGCACGGCAGGAGCGGAGACCCACUGUUAGGGUGCCAGUGGUUCCUCUCGAACAGCAAUGAUGGUAACAGCUAACGUCUACACAGUGAGCAGUGCUAAAACAACUCUGAGACCAUGUGGAUUCCUGCAACAGAGAGGAAUUCACAGGAGUGCUCCAGCCAUGAAGACAGAAGAGAAACAGUCCAGAGAUGGAAGACGCUGACGCCGCCUUGCCAUACUAGCAGUCAGCAGAUGUGCGUCACUGCAGAUUGCCCAGGACCAAACCAGAGAGGGUCGGACCUGCAUUACCACCAUUUGUCCACCAUCCAGAACUGAAAUAUCAUUGCUGACAUGUACACAUAAGGAACUGUUUGACAUAGAAAUUGGGACUCAAAAGAACUGUUGGCCCAGAAAGAAACUCACUACAGACUGAUUCAUUUGUCUCUCAGCAUAA